UACGAAGGGGGCUAGCGUUGCUCGGAAUCACUGGGCGUAAAGCGCACGUAGGCGGAUUGUUAAGUCAGGGGUGAAAUCCCAAGGCUCAACCUUGGAACUGCCUUUGAUACUGGGGAUCUCGAGUCCGGAGAGGUGAGUGGAACUGCGAGUGUAGAGGUGAAAUUCGUAGAUAUUCGCAAGAACACCAGUGGCGAAGGCGGCUCACUGGUCCGGUUCUGACGCUGAGGCGCGAAAGCGUGGGGAGCAAACAGG
rnacentral:rRNA from 1 species